UGCGUAGGUGGUAUGGCAAGUCAGAAGUGAAAACCCAGGGCUUAACUCGGGGACUGCUUUUGAAACUGUCAGACUAGAGUGCAGGAGAGGUAAGCGGAAUUCCUAGUGUAGCGGUGAAAUGCGUAGAUAUUAGGAGGAACAUCAGUGGCGAAGGCGGCUUACUGGACUGAAACUGACACUGAGGCACGAAAGCGUGGGGAGCAAACA
rnacentral:rRNA from 1 species